ensembl:lncRNA
UCUUAAAUCUCACAAUAAAUGAUAUGAUCCCAGUUUUACAGGUGACCAGAUCAAGGGCGACAGUAAUUAAGUGACUGGCUCCAGGUCACAGCCAAUGAGGAAUAUGACACUACUUUAAAUUUUAUUACAGAAAUUUUCAAACAUAUACAGAAGAAAAUAUCCGUAACUCCCACAGUAUUUAUCAUCCAGUUUCAACCACUAUCAACAUUUUGCCACUUAUUUUUCUCCUAUCCUCAUUUUUUUUUUUACCAGAGCAUUUAUAAAGCAAAUUCCAGACCCUGUGGCAAUUUACUGUAAAUACUUCCAUUUGCACCUCUAAACAAUUAGAACAUUUUACCUAACCACCAGGCCAUUAUCUCUCCCUAAUAAAAGUAUCAAUAACUCCUUAUUAUCAUCUAAUACUGCUUAUAUUCAAAUUUCCUCCCCCUUUCACAAAUGUCUUUUUGACAGCUGGUCUGUUCUGUCUGAUCCAAAUAAGGUCCACACACUCCAUUUGGUCCUGUCUUUUAAGCAGUUUUAUUCUCAAACAGUCGUCCUUUCUUUUUUUCUCGAGGCCCUUCGUUAAUGAAUAAACUAGGCCAUUUGUCUGGUAUAACAUCCCACAUUCUGGAUUUGGCUGUUUGCCUCCUCCUGCAGGUGGCACAGGGCCUGGCACAGAGCAGGUGUUCAUUCAACAUUACAAAUCCUGUUAAGGGGAGCAAAGAGAAAGAACAGAGGUGUGGUCCUCACAAGUGUGAUAGGUAGGCAGCACUCCACUUGAGGGGCCACAAGCUCCAGCCAUGGGAUCGUGGGGAGCCCACAGGCUCCAGCCCCGGCAUCUUGGGGAGACCACAGGCUCCAGCCCCGGCAUCUUGGGGAGACCACAGGCUCCAGCCCUGGGAUCUUGGGGAGCCCACAGGCUCCAGCCCUCCAUCUUGGUGGUGAGGACUGCAGGCCAAACAGUUGAAGCAGGAGCCAGACCAGAGCUCCUCGGGGCCCCUCGCUGGAGGGACAGAAGCCACGGGACAUAAGAACAAAUGGCAGCUCCUCUUCCAGCGCCUCGGCUUCUUCGUGCCACGUGAUAUACUAUCGCUGACCUUCGUCAUAUAAAGAAUACGUUUGUAUUUGUGAGCUUUAGCUUGGUCCCUAAAGUCUUCCUAGGUGCUGCUCUCAUUUUGUUGUUCUGUGUUUUAUUCAGAGCAAACUGAAGGGGAUAGAAAAGUGCAAGCAAAACCAACAAGCACCCACAUUCCCAGCAUCCAACAUCAACACUGCUAACGUUUUGUCCCAUUUUCUUCCGGGGUGUUUUUUUGUUGGAGCCCCCAACCACCGCCUUGCUCCUCCUCCCCGUCCGUCGCCGCCGCAGGGCAGCCAGCCCAGGGCGGAGCCUCCCAGAGGCCGCUGACCGCCGUCUCCUAAAGGACCUGCACAAGCGCGCCCCCGUGCUCUGCCCUCGGCCCAGGUGCACUGAACCAGCGCAGUCCCAGGAGCCGGGGCCGUGACGGAGGACGGGACAAACGCCUGCCCGGACCCAAGCCGACUCCUGGAGCCAACGGCGGCCCGAAACGUGAAGACACGUUCUACUGGAAACCGGCCGCC